CCAGUCAAACGAACUAUUACGGUACUAUUGACCUCAACGAGUGUUGAUGUUCCUCGGGCGCGAUUCUCCGAAUGAUCUUGACGACCUUGAUUGACUUGACCCUAGAAUAUCAAGUUUAUUUUUUUACAACAAUCGUGUGCUAUAUAAGAUUUUGCAUCAACAAACGCAACAACAAGGUUUCAGGUGCAUCUGACGAUCUCGAGAGAUGCAGAACCGCCAACUUUACCUGCUGCUGUUUUUAAUAUCACUUGGGGUGCUCCAUGGAAAACCCUUGGAAAAUGUUAAGGACACUCUUAUCAACUAUGACGUCAACUUGGAAUUGCCCGACGGAUUCCAUUACAGUUCUCGAACAAAUAAAGGUGCUAGUGCAAAAGUGAGAGAGAUAGAAUCCAAAGAUGACCCGACUAUAGAAGAAAUCUAUGGCGUUAUAUAUGACGGAUCCAGUGUUCAAGUGUCUACUGAGGAUGAUGAAAAUGGCUUUAGGCCACACGUGGUGGAAAUGAAUUUACCUGAGACGACCACUGUCAUUAUCAGGAAGACCGAGCCAGAAAUUGACACUGCUUGUUUGGCUUCUUUGAGUGGUGGAGGUUGUGGUUGAACUGCUUUUACUCUAUGAUAUUGAUUUUUAGCAAAUAUAUUUAUCUUCAAAUUCGUCCAAUCAUUUCCGACCAAUGAGCAACAACAGCUUUACUAGAACUUGGCACCGUUGUCUUGAAUCUGUCAUUAGUGUCAAUAACGUCAAGUUGAAAAGUGUAGGUUACAUCAAUAAGGUCCUAGAGCGCAUGCUUAUUAUCCUAGAGCUUGUUAGUCUCAGGAGUAACUCGACAAGAUUAGAAGUAGAGACAGGAAGUAAUAAAGAAGCGAAGGCUGCUUUCGUGAGGUUUCUGCGUCAAUAUUGUCACUUGUCAAUGCUGUCAAUGUAAAUAAUCAAUGAAGGGAUGUGAUAAUUUUUAGUGCAUAGUUGACACAUGUAGUGCAAUGGAAGAAACUACUAAUGGAAGCUAAUGGAUAGAUGUCCACUCCUUCUACUCCCACUUCUUUGAUCAAAGGAGAAAAUUGAUUUUUUUAAAAGGAAGUCAAUGUUAUAUUUGUCGAUUAGCCUUAUGGAUCUUUUAACUUUGAAUAACUCUAAAUGUACAUCUGGUGUUAACCAAAAAUUAAUGUUUAUUUAACUAUCCUGUGUUGCUUGGGCUGGAAUAAAAUUAAGUAUUACGUAAAAUGAGAAAUUACAAAAAAGGCCUGGAAAGGGUGAAAAAUUAUCCUAAAAGUCUGAAAAAUAGGACAAAAAAAUUAAUGAUUAAUUAAUUAUAUAAGUAGUAUCAUCCACUAAUCCAAAGCAUCUGAAAAUGUCAAUUUUCACCAUAAAUUGAUCAAAAUUGAUCUCAUAGAGGGCACCACCUGCAUUCACAUAAAAAAAAUUGAGACAGCUCAUCAAAUCGUUUAAUUUUUAUUGUAUGUGUUCUUGUUUUAAUCAAAACAGGUGUACGAAAUGAAAAAAAUCAUGCAAAAAAAAUCAACAAUUUAUUUGACCUCCCACAUAGGAAUCGUGGGCUCUUAUGACCCCCCGGGCGCGAUUCCUCAUACAUAACCUUGCAGAUUUGCAUUUUUUCAGUUAAAAUAUUAAUUUUAUUACGCAAAAUAUCUUCAGUUAUAUAAGAUAAGCAUCACUAGAACCAUCCAUUUACGGUUACACCUGCAUGCAUCCUAACGUAAAAGAUCAUGAAAUAUCGAGAAAUAUUAAUUUAUUUCUUUUUAAUAUUAUUUGGGGCCCAUGGGAAGCCCCUGGAGAGCUUCGUCUUGACCCCUUUUAUCAUCAAAUAUGAGGCCAAGCUGGGAUUACCCGAUGGGUUUUAUUACACUGUUCAAACCAGUGACGGCGUUAACACCGAGGUGACUGGGAAAAUCGACUCCAAAUCAACCCUAACUGUGGAAGGAAAAUAUUUUCUCAUAGCGCCUGAUGGGACAAGGACUGAAGUAACUUAUGAAGCAGAUGAUAAUGGAUAUAGACCACAUGUUGUACAAACGAAGCCUCUGGUGGUCUCCAGCCCAAUACCUGCCGACUGUUUAAUUUCUUUGGGCGGUGGGGGUUGUGGCUGAACGAUCAGAUCACCUAAUAGUGUUUUAAUAAAUUAUUCUGGAUAAAUGUGGAGUUUCUUUCAGUCAAUAUUAAGUUUGACUGACGUGUAAAUGACCUCAAUAGAUGAAAUGUAUGUGUA